rnacentral:lncRNA from 1 species
ACCUGUGAUGACAAGCAGACCCCAAGGACCUCCAAAGGUCCCUCAAACCAGUAUUUCAUGGGCACAUCCUGCUUCAACCCCAGAAGGAUCCACUCCAUCCUCAACUGGUUCUACAGUCCAUGAAGGGGGCACUCCGGAAUCCAGCACCAACACACAGUCUCUCACCAACCCCCUUCCCACGUGGACUGGCAGUGAGACCUUGAUUUCUAAUGACACACAGGGCAUAGGACCUGAACCAACCUCUGCCCCUCCACACACAGCC